rnacentral:rRNA from 1 species
GACGAACCGUGCGAACGUUGUUCGGAUUCACUGGGCUUAAAGGGCGCGUAGGCGGGCGUCAAGUCAGGGGUGAAAUCCCACGGCCCAACCGUGGAAGUGCCUUUGAUACUGGGCGUCUCGAGGGAGGUAGGGGCAUGCGGAACUUCCGGUGGAGCGGUGAAAUGCGUAGAUAUCGGAAGGAACGCCGGUGGCGAAAGCGGGCGAGUGCUGGACCUCGUUCUGACGCUGAGGCGCGGAAAGCCCAGGGGAAGCAAAGCGGG